GAUGAACGCUGGCGGCGUGCCUAAUACAUGCAAGUCGAGCGAAUGGAUUAAGAGCUUGCUCUUAUGAAGUUAGCGGCGGACGGGUGAGUAACACGUGGGUAACCUGCCCAUAAGACUGGGAUAACUCCGGGAAACCGGGGCUAAUACCGGAUAACAUUUUGAACCGCAUGGUUCGAAAUUGAAAUGCGGGUUCGGCUGUCACUUAUGGAUGGACCCGCGUCGCAUUAGCUAGUUGGUGAGGUAACGGCUCACCAAGGCAACGAUGCGUAGCCGACCUGAGAGGGUGAUCGGCCACACUGGGACUGAGACACGGCCCAGACUCCUACGGGAGGCAGCAGUAGGGAAUCUUCCGCAAUGGACGAAAGUCUGACGGAGCAACGCCGCGUGAGUGAUGAAGGCUUUCGGGUCGUAAAACUCUGUUGUUAGGGAAGAACAAGUGCUAGUUGAAUAAGCUGGCACCUUGACGGUACCUAACCAGAAAGCCACGGCUAACUACGUGCCAGCAGCCGCCGCAG
rnacentral:rRNA from 1 species